rnacentral:lncRNA from 1 species
CUGGAACAAGUGAUCAAAUUCGUAGAUGUCGGAAGCGAUUCUCUAGUGGCGUUUUAGCAAUCGUUGAUGAUGAUGAUGAUUCAAAUAUUUGCUUGUACCUCAUCCUUGCUUCGUCGGCAUUUAUUAUAAUCCGAGGUUCACGUCUCACAGUCACAGAGCCGUUCUUCUCUGCUUCGGCUCUAGCUUUGGCUCUCUGGGCACUUUUCUUCAUCCUAUUCAUCGCAGCUUCGAGACGCAUCUUCUUCAAAAGCUCAGGUUUACCUCUCACAAAGUACUGCUUAUGUCCGAAUUCCAAGUGCUCAGAUCCCUUAAUUCUUACAAAUCCCUACCAACCAACAAGAAACUCAGAUUCAAAACUGCAAAAUUCCAAAAAAAAAAAAAAAAAAAAAAAGGAGAAAACUUACGUAUGUGUCAAGUUCGGUGAGAAACUGUGACAGAUUGCAGCAAAAGAAUCUCUUAAGAAUCUUUUUGGUGAAUAGCUCAUUAGGAUUCCAGAUGACAAAACUCUUGUUGUUUUUGCUCCAUGAGAUUGUUGAAUCCAGUGAAGGAUCAUCCACAAUCUCAUAUAUUGCGACGUGGAACUGCUUCAUCCCCGCAAUAGCUUCAAGCCCUAAACACCCGAUGAAAACACAAUCCCAGAUCUGGAUACCAACCCUAGAUUAUCGAGAAGACGCAAGCGUGUGAACCAUCUUAUGCCUUUGGGCCUUUUAAUGAGCUUUUACAUUUGUUUCCUUAUAUUGGGCUUUUACGAAUUACUAGAUUUUUAACCGUGCUACGCAGAUAAGAAAUUAUAUGUAUUUUUUAAUUCUAAAAAAUAAUAUAUAAUAUUGUAUUACAUUAUUUAAAAAAUAUAAAAUAAGACUACAUAACAUAAAUAUAUUUUAUAAAUUUUCUUUGUAGAAAUCAUUAUGUUGUUUGAUUGUUCUACAUGAUUCACAUAUUUGCAUAGUUAUUUGUAAUAGAUGAAUAACUGUAUUUUUAUUAUCAGUAAAUAAUAUAUAUUUAUUAUAUAAUAUAAGAAAAAUAAAAUUAUUUACUUUCAAAACAAACUUAUCUCAUAUUGGGGAUUCGGUUAUAGACAUAUCAUAUUCGAAUGAGACAUUUUAAGUUAACAAUCUUUUAACAGUCAAGAAACAAAUCUGAAUAUCAAAACAUUAUCUCAUACGAUCUAUAUUCAAAACAUUAUCUCAUACGAUCUCUUUGUGGAAUAACUGCUCAGAAAAAAUAGAAUUUAGGCAUAAAAAAGACUGAAAAUUGAUGUGCAGAUGUGUUAUCUAAGUUAGCUUUACAAAGUACUAUUCAUAGUUCAUAUAUCAUUUAUGUCAAUCCUAUUAAUUUGUCCAUCCUUUCUUAAACAUCUUGAAAAAACUGAUGCUAAUUAAUAAUAAACUUUUGGCUGGCAAAAAAAAUCAAAUUUGUCUAAUUAUCGUUUAAUUUGUCUAACUGAUAUAGAUAUGUAUUUCUCAAUUCUAAAAAAAAUAAUGUAUAAUAUUGUAUUACAUUAUUUAAAUAAUAUAAAAUAAGAAUACAUAACAUAAAUAUAUUUUAUAAAUUUUAUUUGUGGAAAUCAUUAUGUUAUUUGAUUGUUGUACUUGAUUCACAUAUUUGCAUAGAUAUUUGUGAUAGAUGAAUAACUAUAUUUUUAUUAUCAGUAAAUAAUAUAUAUUUAUUAUAUAAUAUAAAAAAAUAAAAUUAUUUACUUUUUAAACAAAGUUGUCUCAUGUUGGGGAUUCAGUUAUAGACAUAUAAUAUUCGAAUGAGACAUUUUUACAGUUAUCAAUCUUCUUAACAGUCAAGAAACAAAUCUGAAUAUCAAAACAAUAUCUCAUACGAUCUCUUUGUGGAAUAACUGCUCUGAAGAAAUUGAAUUUAGGCAUCAAAAAGAACUGGAAAUGAUGUGCAGAUGUGUUACCUAAGUCAGCUUUACAAAGUACUACUAUUCAUAGUUCAUAUAUCAUUUAAAUCCAUCAUUUCUUAAACAUCUUGAAAUAACUGAUGCUAAUUAAUAAUAAACUUUUGGAUGGAAAAAAUCAAAUUUGUCUAAUUACCGCUUAAAUACUUUAUUAAUAUUGUCUAAUUUUUAUUUUUAUUUUGUUAAUUUUAGAGUUUUUUGUAUUUAAGAUUUUUUUCAUAUUAAGCUUAUAUUUCUUUCACAUAAUAUAUAUAUGUCAUAAAAAUUACCAUCAAAUCAGUUUUACUUAUUUAUUAUUUUGUUUUUAAUGAAAAUACACUUUUAAAAUAAUUUAAUUUAUAAUAAAAUUAUAUAUUAAUUUUUUGUAUUCUAACAAUUUGAUUGAUUUAAUUAAUUUGCUUUGGUGGAUAACUUAAAAAGUUUUCAUAUGAAUCGGAGAAAGCAAGCUUAUGUUGUUAUAUUAUAUUAUUUGUGUAUAUGGAAUCUAUAUAUAAUGCUAGUGUAAUAAAGAAAAAAUAUUAUUUUUUUUGUAACUUCAAAAAGAUACAUUAUUACAAUUUGAAAUUAAUCAAAAUUGAAUAAAAUGGUAAUUAAAUAAAUCUAAUUGUUUUUUUUAUCUUCUUUAAUUGGAUUCUCAUGAAAAGAAAUCGAUAGGUUAAAUAAAUGUUUCAAAAAAAUUUGUGUUAUUGUUUUGUCUUUAAAUUACAAAAUUUAUUGAAUUGAUAUAUUUAAUUAUUGCACUCUUAAAUAAUAUUUUAUUAAGACAUUAGAGAACUAUGUUUUGAGUUGUUUUGUCAAAAUUGUACAAAAAUCUAUGCUUUUUCAUAUUUAUCACGAAAUUUAUAUGUUAAACUUACUUUUACAAAAUUCUUAACUUUGUCAUGAAAACAAAAAUCUAUGCUUUUUCAUAUUUGUCAAUGUUCUCAUACUUUCAAAGAAUAUACUUUCUUGUAGGAGGCGCAAACAUAUGCUCAGGAGAACAGUCUUUUCUUCAUGGAAACUUCAGCAAAAACCGCAGCUAAUGUCAAGGAGAUAUUCUAUGAAAUUGGUGAGCUAUCGACCUAUCGUUACACUUUAAGAUUCAAAUUCAAACAGUUUUUUUUUAAUGCUUCUAAUACUAAAUGGUGUUAUACCUUUUUCUCUUUUGACUGGGACAGCAAGAAGGUUACCAAGAGUACAACCAACAGAAAAUCCAACAGGAAUGGUUCUACCAGAUAGGGCCAUGGAUAGGGGAGCGAGUUCAUCUUGUUGUGCUUAGUUAUAUGUAAUGGAAUACAUGCACUUCCCUUAAAGGGGACCUUCUGGUCAGUCAAUAUUGAGUUAUGGACUUGUGUGUUUUGAAUAUCUUUGCUUUGUUUUGCUUGUGUGGACAUUUGAUUUACCAAUUAAAAAGGGUUGUACAUGAAGAUAUUUCAUAUUGAAAUAUGAUGUCUACCGCAUAUUGGAACUAUGUAUCCAAUUGUCAAAACACCAAGUAUUUUCAAGUUUUAGGAACUCUAGAAUGUUUUUUUUUCCAUUUGAGCUUCCUGAUUCUCACAAGUUUGUGUGACAGUAUUCCACAUCAUCGCCAGGUAAAGUUAAUAACUUUCUCAUUAUUGAAGAUGUAACAACUUUCUCAUUGAAGAAAUUCAGGAUCAUCAGACUCUGCACAUGGUUCCAAUAGCUAGGGCCCUACAUGUAGCAUAACACCAGUUUUUAAGAAGACACUAAUGAAUGAUUAAGUCGGUUAUUACUUUCCGUGGUGGUUACAUUUUAUACAUUUAAAAUUGUGGACUGGGCACCGAAUACCCUAUAAACAAAUAAUAAAGGUAAAGCCCAAUAGCAACCCACCAAUAAAAAUACGAAAAAGGUUUAUAGGGUUUCUCAGAAAAUUACGCAGAUCAAAGUGGAAAUGUCGGACUAUGCUUCUCCCGAAAAAUCGCCCUUCACUAUUUUCUGUGAGUAUUCAGCUCUGAAGCAUUCAACCAUACAGUUAGCCCAUAGUUUUGACACCAAACUCCAGGAAUUGAGACAUUUCAACCGCAAAACUGUAAGUUUCUAUCGGGAGUUCUAAGCUAUGUUUUUGGCCUAGAUCGCGCUUAUAUCGUUUUGUCUGACUUUUUUUUGUUGUUAUCGCUCAUAUCGUUUGUGCUUACAUUAUUUUUGUCUGUGACUUUUUUUGGAUUUGUUUUUUUUUUUUUUUGAUUUAAGGGCCCCACCUGAGAAUCUCAGUUGUUUCCUAUUUUGUUUUUUGGUCUCAUAUUUUUUUUUUAUUGCAGACCACCUCCAAAGAUGAGCUCAGAGCUUCCAUAAGGUGCAUUGGCAGAUGCAUUGACAGUUUUGAGGAAUCUUUUACUGAGCAUGCUGUAGUGAUCGAUGGUAAAGUGGAUCGACCUGUGGUCAACUUUUCUGAAGAUUUGACCAACGAUCAGCUCCGGUCAAAUGCAAAGCUCCUUUUGAAGUAUUUCAAGAAACGUACCCUCCGCUACUUCUAUGACGCUUUCUUCCCUGAUCCUCUGGAUCUGCAUAUCGAUGCUGUGCCCAAGUGUGAUUUCAUCAGGUCUCAUCUCGAAAACUUUGAGUCUCUCAUUGACCGUGUCAUGAUGGAAGCUUAUGCCUGCAAAACAAGUUCUGAAGAUGAAUAGUUAUCAUUUAUGCUGUGGAUGGAUGUACUUACCUAAGUGAUGGAUCGAUUGGCUUAUUUUAUUUAACUUUGAUGUGGAUUUGUGUUAGUUUGUCACACUCCUAAUGAUGUGCCACGUUUUUAUGUUACUAUGUCUCACUCUCAAACUAAUGGAUCUGUGUUAUAUGUCUUAUGUGUUAAGUGUUUUUCUUUCCAGUCAUCCAAAUGAGUCUUUCUUAACUUCCUUCCUACAAUAUUUACAAUCAAACACACACACUCUAGAAGAAGAGUAAGAAAAACAAUAAACCCCCAUUGACAGCACACAUAGUCUUAACUCCAAACCUUAACGUUCUCCAACUGAAAGAUGAACUGAUUCCAAGCAAAUCAUCUCUUUUAAUGAGUCAAAAGUGGUGCACAAGACAAAACAACUCUUUGUAAUCAUUGUCCCCAAAAAUGCGCUCUUCCUUUUCUGUUUCAGAGCGCCACCAUCUCCAAAAUAGCUGACUGAGCUUUACUUGAAACUUCUCACCAGCAAGGUUUUGUAUCCCAGUUUUGCAUCAUUCUCUGUUAUCCAAAUGAAUGCUCUUUCUUUCCCCGGCGCCAUACAUCACUCCUCUUUGAUAUAAGAAUAUCUCCAGGACACUCAUCUCUGAAAUAAUAGCUCUAUCAUUUCGACCCUUGUAGCCUAACCAGUGUUUAAGAGUUCUAAAAAAGAUACUAAUGAUUGAGUUAUAAAUAAUUUUCUUGUAAUAAAACAAAUGAAUUGUCACUGUUCAAUGACAUGAUAAAUAUAAUUAAAUUAUUUUGUUUCUUUAUUGAAUCUGAUUUUAAAAAGAAAAUUCUAACUUUGUUGGGAAUAACAAGACAUAGAAACCCCACAAGGGCAUAUGCUUCCAAGAAUCCAAUUUAUGUCAAAUAUCACAUUGUGACAAUAAAUUGUUUCUAUAUACUCUGUUACCAAAUUGGGAUUCAGUGAUUUUUUAAUCCACAUGCUUCCAAUUAUGAGACAAACCUCAAAAGGCACAUUAUAAUAAGAACAAUGAUUACUAUUUAAUAAAAAUUUCAUUGCUAUUCCCAGACACACAUGUCAUGAUUAUGCUUAACAUAUUAAAUACGAGUCGAGUAAAUCCAGGAGCUAAGCUAAUUAAAUAAAGGUUCACUAAAGAGUAUAUAAAAUCCAUAGGCUAUGCCUAUCAGGUAGUUAGUUAACACGAUUCAUAUAAAAUCCACAAGAUAAGUAUGAUUGAAACAACAGUCUCAACAUAACAAACAACACAAACACAACAGACAGCUACUACAGUCUAACAUAACAAACAGCUACGAAUAUUCACUCUUUCUUCUUCAUGCUUGCUCAUCUUCCUCAUUUUUCUUUUCCUCUUGGUUAUCCUCAUCUUCAUCCUCAUCCCCAUCUCCAUCCUCAGAGGUGUUUAAGCAAUCAUAGCAUGGAAGAGAAGAGGCGUCGGUCUGCUGCUAAGUAUGAGGAAAACGAAACUCGAAAGAGAAGGAGAACAGCUGAAUAGCCAGCCACAUCCCUCUGUUAAAAGUUUUGUGUUGAACCAUGGUGGUGUGAUAAGUCUGUCCGCUGUGAUUCUCCAUGGUUGAAAUUUUGCUCUGUACUGGCUUCUACCUGUUUUUUUUUUUUUAAUGAUAGAUAAAUGUGUUAAAUACAGAGAUUUUUUAUUCUGACAUUGGAAUUAGGACAUGUUAGACGGGUAUUUCAUACAAAUAAGUUUAGACGUACUGUUCUCUUGGAGAACCUCUGUGUGGUUACUAAGUUUUUAAGCCUUGUGUGUGCAUACUAAUGUAUGAAUGAAGUUAAGAAAGAUCAUCGUCAUUUGAAAUGACUCUGCUGGGUACUAGCUAAGAGAAAGCACUUAACACAUAAGACAUUAAAAAUAACAUAGAUCCAUUAGUUUGAGAGUGAGACAUAGUAACAUAAAAACGUGGCACAUCAUUAGGAGUGUCAAACUAACACAAAUCCACAUCAAAGUUAAAAUAAAAUAAGCUAAUCGAUCGGAUCCAACAUGAGGUAAGCUAGAAAAAUAUAUACCCAGAGUCUUCAUCUUCAGAACUUGCUAUGCAGUCAUAAGCUUCCAUCAUAACCUUGUAAAUGAGAGACUCACAAUUUUCGAGAUGAGACCUGAUGAGACCAAACUGGGCCAUAGCAUCGUCAACAUGUGUAAUAUCAGGAGGGAAGAAAGCGGCAAAAAAGUACUCGAGAGUGCGGUUCUUGAAAUACUUCAAGAGUAGCGUGGCAUUUGACCUCAGUUGGUCGUGGCUCAAAUCUUCAGAGGAGCUAACCUCGGGUCGAUCCACCUUAUCCUCGACAAUCACUUCGUAAUCGUUCAAACUGAUCUCCAUAUUGUCAAUGCAUCUGCCAAUGCACCUUAUGGAAGCUCUGACCUCAUCUUUGGAGGUGGUCUGCAAUAAAAAAUAUGAGACACACCAAUAUAACAAUUUCAGGUAAAACCCAACUCAGAUCUAACAAUCCAACAUAAGAAAAAAAAAAAGAAGAAUCUUAAUAUACAGAAAAUGCUUACGGUUUUACGUAUGAAUGAUCUAAAAGACACAAGUUUUGUCUUAAAGCUCUGGUUUAACUCCAUGGUCGCCGCCUUGGCCGCUGCGAACUCUGGAAGAAUGGUAAAUGCAGAGGCUGCAUCAGAUUUCAAGGAAGAACUUUGCGACAUACUUUAUCGCCGAAUUUUCAGGUUAAUUUUCUUUCUUGCAAAUAAACCCUAAAACUCCUUUAUUUAUACACACCGUAAGUUUCGUAGUGGGCUACUAUUGGGCUCUAGUGAACUUGGGGAUCCACUCCACUAUGUUUCUUUAUUGCAUAAAAUGCAUACAUAUAUAUAUAUAUAUAUAUAUCUACUAAUAAUAACAAUCCUAAUUAAUUCCAAAGAUUGUGAAUUUCACUUAAGUUUAAAGAUUAUGUGUUCAUUUUAGAAGUUGUGACUAUUUAAUAUGAAUUUUUUUGACUUUUCAUAUAAUUAUCAUUAAAAAAAAAACAAUUUCAACUAAUUAAGAUUGUGAAUUUCACUUAAAUUAAGUUUUUUUGUUCAUUUUAAAAGUUGUGACUAGUUGACUUUUCAUAUAAGUAUCAUUUCAAAGAAAACAAUUUUAAUUAAUUUCAAAAGUUAUGAAUUCCACUUAAAUUGAAAGGUUAUGUGUUCAUUUUAAAAGUUUUGACUAUUUAGUAUGAAAAAAUUGUGACCUUUCACAUAAGUAUCAUUUCAAAAAAAAAAAACAGUCCAUAUUAAUUCCAAAAGUAGUAAAUUCCACUUAUUGAAUGGUUAUGUUUUCAUUUUAAAACUUGUGACUAUUAAAAAUGAAAAGUUGUGACUUUUCAUCUUAGUAUCAUUUCAAAAAGAACAUGUUUUAGAUUGAAAAGAUGUGACUAUUCAAAUAGAUUUUUGAAGUCUAUAAAUAGUUUAUGUCCAAGCCUUUCUCAAAGUAAAAUUUUACCAAUCUAAUAAAAUGGAAAGAAAAAAGUUAUGUGCCAUUACCUGAUUACAAACUUUUAGAAAAUAUUCAAAUGAAACAUUGUCAAACAAAAAAUAGUAGGAAGAGUUUUACGUGUUUGGAUAGCCAAAAUCCAGAAUGAAAAAAUGAAAUCAUUAGUUUUAAACUUUUAAUCUUCUUUUACAAGAUGAGAAGGUUUGUUUUCCAUACUAACAAAUUUUUUGUGAUAUGUACUUUUCAUGAACACAUGUUUCAUGUUCUAUUUCUUCCAACAAAAAUUACAUUCAUGUCGGUAUAGUUGAUACCAUUCACUAAACCUCACUAGAUCAGCCAGAUUCUUCACCAUCCGCCAUAGGUGCAUUCAAAUAAGAAUAUCUUUGCAACCAUGAGGAGUUUGACCGUGAAAUCACUUGCUAUAAUAGAUUAUCAACUCAACCAGAGCACGCGGCGAAUUGAUUUCAUACAGAAAGGAAAAAUGGUUUACGAGAUAUACCAUUUACAAGUCAGACGAACUGCACUAUAUACGAGCUGGUUCAAUUUAAGGAAAGUAAUUAUUUCUUCAAGGAGUGUGUACCUAAAACUCACGUGUGAAAACUAGGAAUAGAUUUUUUUCUUUAUUGGCUUUUUUUACUUCAUUACAUCUAAGACCACUUAGAGAGUUGAUACCAUGCAUUAAACCUCAUUGGAUCAGCCAGAUUCUUCACCAUCCGUCAUGGGUGCAUUCAAAGAAGGAUAUCUUUGCAACCAUGAGGAUUUUGACCGUGAAAAAAACUUGCUAUAAAUUCUCAACUCAACCAGAGCACGCGGCGAAUUGGUUUCAUACCAAAAGGAGUAAUGGUUUACGAGAUAUACCAUUUACAAGUCAGGCGACCUACACUGUAUUCGAGCUGGUUCUAUAUAAGGAAAAUAAUUAUUUGCUUAAGGAGUGUGUAACUCAAACUCACGUGUGGAAACCAGGAGAUCAUUCAUUACAUCUAAUACCACUUGGAGAGUUGAUACCAUGCACUAAACCUCUCUGGAUCAGCCAGAUUCUUCACCAUCCGACAUAGGUGCAUUCAAAGAAGGAUAUCUUUGAAACCAUGAGGAGUUUGACCGUGAAACCAUCUGCUAUAGAUUCUCAACUUAACAAGAGCACGCGGCGAAUUGGUUUCCUACCAAAAAGAUUAAUGAUUUACAAGAUAUACCAUUUACAAUUCAGGCGACCUACACUGCAUCUGAGCUGGUUAUAUUCAAGGAAAGUAAUUAUUUGCUUAAUGAGUGUGUAAAUUAAACUCACGUGUUAAAACAAGGAGACAUUCAUUACAUCUAAUACCAUUUGGAGAGUUGAUACCAUGCACUAAAGCUCACUGGAUCAGCCAGAUUCUUCACCAUCCGACAUAGGUGCAUUCAAAGAAGGAUAUAUUUGAAACCAUGAGAAGUUUGACCGUGAAACCAUCUGCUAUAGAUUCUCAGCUCAACAAGAGCACGCGGCGAAUUGGUUUCCUACCAAAAGGAUUAAUUAUAUACAAGAUAUACCAUUUACAAUUCAGGCGACCUACACUGCAUCCGAGCUGGUUCUAUUCAAGGAAAGUAAUUAUUUGCUUAAUGAGUGUGUAAAUUAAACUCACGUGUUAAAACAAGGAGACAUUCAUUACAUCUAAUACCAUUUGGAGAGUUGAUACCAUGCACUAAAGCUCACUGGAUCAGCCAGAUUCUUCACCAUCCGACAUAGGUGCAUUCAAAGAAGGAUAUCUUUGAAACCAUGAGGAGUUUGACCGUGAAACCAUCUGCUAUAGAUUAUCAACUCAACAAGAGCACGCGGCCAAUUGGUUUCAUACCAAAAGGAUUAAUGAUUUACAAAAGGCAAAAGAAUCUCGAAACAGCAAAAGGCAGGACAACCUUGUGUAACAAGAAAAAAACUUAUAAAAAGUUCAACAUCGGAGAUAAACUGUGACAACUCUCGGCAAAAGAAUCUCGAAACAAACUUUCUUUCGAUUAGCUCUUGAGGAUUCCAGAUGACGAAACCAUUGUUGCUUUUGCUCCAUGAGAUUAUUGAAUCCAACAAGGAUCAUCCACCACCUCGUAUAUAUCGCUGUAAAACGAACACAAUCCCUUUGGAUAUUCGUGAACCAUCUCUACUACACACCAAAAGAACAGAUGUGACGCCUAUCUCAAACCCUAACAUGGUAGAAGAAAACACUAAUCUUAUAACAUACUAGCCCCCAAUUCGUUUUCUUGUGAGUAAAAUUUGUUUCGAUUAUUAUUUGGUUUAGUAAUGAUCUAAACCAGCUUAAGCAGGGUCAACUAAAAUACCGGAAUGAUCAAGAAAGCUCUUGACAAAAGAGAGGAAUGCAGACUACAUGGAGAGUUUCAGAAUGUGACCAGAAACCAUGCAUCACAAGUUAGCUGGGUUAGCCUGGUUUCUCAGGUGUAGAGACGUGGAUCACAGUGGAUAAAGAACACAGAAAAACACACAGUUGAGAAGGCUGCGAAGAUGCUAUUUGUAAGGCUACGCCUACUAAUAGAAGACAUUCUUGUAGGGGUUGCAGCCACAGUUUUUCCUUGGCAUUCACAAGACUUUUGGUUGUUGUUAGUAAGAGAUGUUGAGGGGACAUUCAUCGCAACUCAUAAGAGAUGAAGCUACCAUUUAAAUCUUGAUGUUUGAUGAUUAUUUUACAGAAUAGCAUCAAAUAUAGGUCAAGAAGAAAUACAUGUAUCCUUUUCUAAUAUUAUUAUUUUAAUAAAGCCUUGAUGCAAGAAAGCAACUGAAACAAGAACAAGUGCUACAUGUGCAGUGAUCAAAUUUGUAGAUGUCGGAAGCUGUUCUCCAGUGGCGUUUUAGCUUUGGUUGAAUGCCCCAUAAUUUGGUCGAACCUAAUACGUGCAUCUUCGAGACACAUCUUCCUAUAAGAAGGUUGAUCUCCCACACAGCCCUUCUUCUCUGCUUCUGCUUUAGCUCUAGCUUUGGCUGCCUUGAGAUCUUUCUUCACCCUACCCCAGGCAACUUUGCGACGCAGCUUAAUCAUAAGCUCAGGUUUACCUCUCACAAAGUAUUGCUCAUGUCCAAAUUCCAAGUGCUCAUCAGACCCCUUAAUUCUUACAAAUCCCUACCAACCAGCAAGAAGCUCAGAUUUUAAAACCCGCAAAGAUUCCAAAAAAAAAAUCGGGUGAUACCAUAUUAUAAAAUAAAACAUACAUGGGAUUUAAGAUCUUUGAUAAAAUGUGACAACUUGUUGCGAAAGAAUCUCCUAAGAAUCUUUUUCUCGACAAGCUCUUUAGGAUCCCAGAUGACAAAACUCUUGUUGCUUUCGCUCCAUGAGAUUAUUGAAUCCAGUGAUGGAUCAUCCACCACCUUGUAUAUACCUGUGUAAAACUGAGACAGCGACAUCCACGCCAUAGCUCUUCAAACCCUAGAACAAACGAACGUGAAAAAAUAAUCCAAGAUAUCGACACCAACCCUAAUUAUCAAGAAAAGCGUGUGGGACCAUAUACAGUAUAUCUUAUUUCUUUGGGCUAUUUUUGGGUUUUUGCAUUCAUUUUCUUAUGCUCAUUGGGCUCUCAUUCUGCUUGGAUUAAUUCGUUAAUUUAACUUACCUUUGUGUGUGGUUAUUAAUCCCUGUUCUAAAACGCGGCCGCUGUGACCGGAUUUGCGGUGGUUAAACGCUCGGCGGUGCCUGUCCGUGGCAAUUGCCACCUACUCGGCCAACUAGGCGGCUAGUUGAAAAGUAAACUAUAUAUUGUGGAGUAUAUUAUGUUUCCUUGGCAUUCACAAGAAUUUUGUGUUGUUGUCAGCAAAAGACAUUCAUCACAAUUUUAUAAAGAGGAAAGCAACCAUUUAAAUAUUACACAAAGUAACUUGACAAGGUUUGAUACAGAAUAGCAAUAGAAGGUCAAAUAAAGGUUAAGCAAAACAUGCAUUGUUUUACUGGAAAGCCUCAAUUAUUUUAGCAAAGUCUAAUUAUUUUAGCAAAGUCUAGGGAGCAACUGGAACAAGUGAUCAAAUUCGUAGAUGUCGGAAGCGAUUCUCUAGUGGCGUUUUAGCAAUCGUUGAUGAUGAUGAUUCAAAUAUUUGCUUGUACCUCAUCCUUACUUCGUCGGCAUCUAUUAUAAUCCGAGGCUCACGUCUCACAGUCAUAGAGCCGUUUUUCUCUGCUUCAGCUCUAGCUUUGGCUUUCUUGGCACUUUUCUUCAUCCUAUUCAUCGCAGCUUGGAGACGCAUCUUCUUCAAAAGCUCAGGUUUACCUCUCACAAAGUACUGCUUAUG